AUUUCCUCGAAAGCACAGCUCAAAAUACUGAAUAUGUAUGUAAUGAUGUUACCAUCCCUCCCCAAAACGAGCAAUGAGCCCUUCCAAAAACCUUUCCAUCAAUUUCUACUACCUUUGUAUCAUCAAUCUUUGCUUUGCACUGACGCAUGCGGCUACAUUUGUCAUAACAAACAAUUGUAACUACACAGUUUGGGCUGCGGCUGUGCCCGGUGGUGGCACGGAGCUCAACCCACGGGUUGGAACAUGGACACUAAAUGUCCCAUCUGGAACCAAGGGCGGUCGAAUCUGGCCACGAACUGGCUGCGUGUUCAGUGGAACUGGUCGUGUCGUAUGCCAGACCGGUGGCUGUGAAGAUGGGGACAAAGCUACUGCUACUCGAAGAAAAUUGAACCCAGCAGCAUAUUCCAUCUCCCUGGAAUCGGGUCCUCCCCAUGUUGGAAUCCUAGCGUCGACAAUGUGCAGUAAUGGUGGGCUUCUCGAAUGCAAAGGCUACGGUACACCGCCAAACACCAUUGCCGAAUACUCACUAGACCAAGUUAACAACCAAGAUUUCUUUGACAUCUCUCUUGUUGACGGGUUUAAUGUUCCUAUGGAAUUUAGACCCACUUCUAAUGGAUGCACCCGUGGGAUAAGAUGUACUGCUGAUAUCAAUGGGCAGUGCCCCAAUGAGUUGAGGGUUCCUGGUGGAUGUAACAAUCCAUGCACUGUAUUCAAGACCGAUCAAUACUGUUGCAAUUCUGGGAGCUGUGGGCCCACAAACUAUUCCAAUUUUUUCAAGGAUCGUUGCCCCAAUGCUUACAGUUACCCUAAUGACGACCAAACUAGCACAUAUACGUGCCCUGCUGGGACCAACUACAGGGUUGUGUUCUGCCCUUAAAGAACUGGCUCAGAAUUAGCACGCAGUAUGCCUAUGAAGGGAGCUUGAGGGGCACUUGGCGAGCAUGCAUUGUAGUGUGCAAACACCAAUUUCCGAAUUCAGAUGAGAUUUCCAGAAAAAGAGCACGUGAGAGACAGAGAUCCCUGGGCAAAAGUAGUUUAAACUCGAGUCCUCGUCCUUUUGGUCUGUGUCUCUGGGGGGUCAAGCCUCUUCAUUUUCCAAACAAUCCUCAUGGAACUCUCGAAGUCUUCCUUGGUUCUAAGGGACUGGAAAGCACCUAUUUUUCUUGGAAAACACAGAAGCAAAGAAAUAAUCAAUCUUACAACAGUUAUCUGACUGAAAUCUCUCUCUCUCUCUCUCCCCCCACUAGAUCUUUUAACCGGAUGAUACAGAGCAUCAAGCUCUGAUUACAAAUAUUACAAGAGAUAAAUAGCAAAAGCGUCAUGCUAGGGCUUUAAACAGUAGAUUACUACUGACUAUCCCAGACAACUAGCUGCCUUUAUCCUAAGAGUUAACCUUUCCAUGAAGAUCCUCAUCACCCUCCGAGUAAGGUUGUUGAGAACUAAUUCCUCCACAACUCGGCAAGCUCACAUGAUUUCCUGGGGCCAGGAAUGGAGAACUCCGGGACGGUUGGUGUCCUGCCAUAGACUUUUCUGGUAAAUCAAAAUGGGAUGAAAUAUCAUUUUGGAAAAAGCUGGGUAAGCCAAAAUCUGGCAAUGCCAAACUACUAUCCCUCUGUGUGUGAGAGAUGUCAAGUUCUUCGUGGAAGCUUCCUUGAACUGCCAAAUUAUCUUCCACUGGUAUUACACCUGUAAGUGUCUUGAAUGCAAAUUCUAGGCAUGGGUCUGGCCAAGAAUCACCGAAAGGAAAGGCAAGCUGUGGUUCUGGCAUUAUUUCAGUUUCAGGAAAAUGCGGUUGCUCUUUGGGAACACUUUGGACUCCAAGAGGCAGUUGCUCUUUGGGACCAACUUGAACUUCAAGCGGCUUUUCGCUCUUGUUUGAUGACACCCCAAGAAAGAUUGGGGUGUUUACAUUGUUAGAAACAUGAUGCGCAAGCUCCAUGUCUAGCCCGUCCUCAAGUUGUCGAGAUGCUCCAUCUGCCAAAACCACAGGUAAAGUAGCUUCACUUUCACUAGACUUAUUCCUUGCAUUUUGAAUAGCCUGUUCACCGAAUCGGGAGUUGGCCACCAUCUCAGGUUCAAGCCCAGCAAGCCGCUUUGAAGACCUUCGAGUCAAAUUAAGAUCUUUUUUGUUCUUGGAUUUCUUCAAGCUAUCCUGAGUUUUUCUAGUGCUGCUCUUUCUUAUGCCACCCUCAAGCGAGUUCUCUUUUUGCUGGAUAUUGGCAGCAGGAGCCAAAACAGCCCCAUAACUAGUAGUGUCCUCAAGUGGUAAUGCACCUGUAAGAGUCUUGAUAGCGAACUCUAGGCAUGGGUCUGACCAAGAAUUCCCAAAUGGACAGCAAUGCUCUUCUUCUAGUACCUCAUCAUCCAUUUUGUCAGUUUCCAGCAUCUCUAGUGGCCCUUUGGAAGCAGCUUUGUUUUGAAGAUGCUUUUUGCUUUCGUCUGAUGGCUCUCCAUGCAAUGCAUGGUUCGGGUCUGUAGAACCAUGCUGUGCAUUCAGCAUUUGUUGCCCAUUCUCAAGCUGCUGAGAUGCUCCAUCUGACAAACCACAUGAAGCCAAAACUGAAUCUUGACCUGCUCCACUUUCACUUAACCUCCUUGUUAAAACUUGAAAAGGUUGUUGACUUGAAACUGAGUUCACAACCUGCUCAGGAUCAAAACCAGCAAGUCUUUUUGAAGAACGGCAAGGCAAGUUAAAUUUUUUUUUCUUUUUGGACUUGCUUGAGGUAAUCUUAUUUUUCCUAGUGCUGCCAUUUUCCUUCACAGUCUCAAGCACAUCAUUCUCUUGCAGGAUAUCAACUGCAGGUGUUGAAACAGGCACAUUAUUAGGAGGGAGACUUUUUGGUUGACUUUUUCCCUUGGAGCUGUCAGCUUUAGGCAAUGCUGACCUUCUUGGACCACAAUUUUCCUUAGUUUCUGCAGAAUCCUUAAUGGCAUCCUUCUGGACAAUCUCAGCUGUGGGGACAAAAGCAUCUCUCUGUUCAUCAGAUGCUUUAUUUGCCCGUCCUCUCUUUGAGCUCUUGGCUUCUGCUAA